rnacentral:lncRNA from 1 species
CUUAACGGGAUUCCCUUCUUUGUUUGUUUGAUUCGAAGGGGAAGGGCCCGUUGAGUUCUUAAGAAUCAUAAUAUUUUUUUCGUCUAAAUGCUAAAACGGAUUUCUUUUUCUUUUCAAAAACUCCGUUUUUCUCAUUUUUCUGAGCAUGUUUUUGAAAAAUUCACUUCAUUGAGUUAGUCAGACCACCUCUUCUUUUUAUAUGAUAGUAUCUAUCGGUACUUUCAAAGUUGGAAGAAAGAAGGAAGAACUCAAUUUCUUGGCUGCUAUCAUAUAUUAGAUAGCGUGCAAAUCCUUUCUAUACUAAUCUAAUGUAGAACCUUACUCUCUAUAUUACAUUACUCUAUUGAUUUUUUAUUGUUUUCCUAUUUCAUCAUCAAAUUUUUUAUAAGAUAAGUUGAUUGAAGAAGUUUUAUUUAAUUAAUAAAAUUUCCUCUCUUUUUUGUUUUGUUUGUCCACCAAUUCAUAUAUUAUAUGUAAGGGGGUAGGUGUAGGGUUUCUGAUACAUCUGGAAAAAUUGAAACCAAGACUAGGAAUUUUUAACAAACAGGAUCAAGAAUCAUUACUCUUUCGUUUCGACACAAGAAAAAAGGAUUUUUCU